CAGCCGCCGCGGGAAUACAGAGGGUGCGAGCGUUAAUCGGAUUUACUGGGCGUAAAGCGUGCGUAGGCGGCUUCUUAAGUCGGAUGUGAAAUCCCUGAGCUUAACUUAGGAAUUGCAUUCGAUACUGGGAAGCUAGAGUAUGGGAGAGGAUGGUAGAAUUCCAGGUGUAGCGGUGAAAUGCGUAGAGAUCUGGAGGAAUACCGAUGGCGAAGGCAGCCAUCUGGCCUAAUACUGACGCUGAGGUACGAAAGCAUGGGGAGCAAACAGGAUUAGAUACCCGGGUAGUCCCUGUCUCUUAUAC
rnacentral:rRNA from 1 species